rnacentral:misc_RNA from 1 species
UGCAAAUGGAAAGAGAUCCCUCUCAUGUCGUCCUUCAGUACUGAUGUAAACACUAAUAAUGCUGGGCGGACUCGUGUCUCUCCACUUGAAGAUAAUUUCCUUGACAACAUUCCUCGUGUUCCACCACCCGUUUCUCUGCCCCUUCCUGAGCCCCUUCACUUCUCUGAUGAUGAACCUCUUCCAAGCAUCACUGUGGAUCAGACCCCCUCCCCUUCCUCUGUUCAUCCAGAGACUGCUGUCUUGAAAGCUUUUCCUGAAUAUUCUGCAGUUGCUGCUUCUGGAAGUAUGUCAAGAUUUGCUGUUCUUGUUGGAGUAAAGGCACCUCCACUUGCUGAUGAUGUUCGGCACCAAGAGCGAGCACCUAUUGACCUGGUCACAGUUCUAGAUAUUAGUGGCAGCAUGGCUGGAUCAAAAUUGACUCUCUUGAAACAAGCAGUUUGUUUUGUCAUAGAUAACUUGGGUCCUUCUGACCGGCUAUCUAUUGUUACCUUUUCAUCAGGAGCUCAAAGAAACUUUCCCUUGCGAAGGAUGACAGAACAAGGGCGUAGAGAGGCUGCACAGGCUGUCAAUGCCAUUUCAGCAAAUGGUGGCACAAAUAUCGUGGAAGGACUCAAGAAGGGGGUUCGGGUUCUUGAAGAAAGACGUGAAAGGAACCCAGUUGCAAGCAUUAUUCUCUUGUCAGAUGGGAGAGACACCUUUAACGGUGAUAUCGCCAACCAACGGCGGAGUCCUCGGAACCGCAGAUCCUCUAAUGCAACCUCAGGUCCCG